rnacentral:rRNA from 1 species
GGCAGCACAGUAAGAGCUUGCUCUUAUGGGUGGCGAGUGGCGGACGGGUGAGGAAUACAUCGGAAUCUACUUUUUCGUGGGGGAUAACGUAGGGAAACUUACGCUAAUACCGCAUACGACCUUCGGGUGAAAGCAGGGGACCUUCGGGCCUUGCGCGAUUGAAUGAGCCGAUGUCGGAUUAGCUAGUUGGCGGGGUAAAGGCCCACCAAGGCGACGAUCCGUAGCUGGUCUGAGAGGAUGAUCAGCCACACUGGAACUGAGACACGGUCCAGACUCCUACGGGAGGCAGCAGUGGGGAAUAUUGGACAAUGGGCGCAAGCCUGAUCCAGCCAUACCGCGUGGGUGAAGAAGGCCUUCGGGUUGUAAAGCCCUUUUGUUGGGAAAGAAAAGCAGCGGGCUAAUACCUUGCUGUUCUGACGGUACCCAAAGAAUAAGCACCGGCUAACUUCGUGCCAGCAGCCGCGGUAAUACGAAGGGUGCAAGCGUUACUCGGAAUUACUGGGCGUAAAGCGUGCGUAGGUGGUUGUUUAAGUCUGUUGUGAAAGCCCUGGGCUCAACCUGGGAACUGCAGUGGAAACUGGAUGACUAGAGUGUGGUAGAGGGGUAGCGGAAUUCCCGGUGUAGCAGUGAAAUGCGUAGAGAUCGGGAGGAACAUCCAUGGCGAAGGCAGCUACCUGGACCAACACUGACACUGAGGCACGAAAGCGUGGGGAGCAAACAGGAUUAGAUACCCUGGUAGUCCACGCCCUAAACGAUGCGAACUGGAUGUUGGGUGCACUUUGGCACGCAGUAUCGAAGCUAACGCGUUAAGUUCGCCGCCUGGGGAGUACGGUCGCAAGACUGAAACUCAUAGGAAUUGACGGGGGCCCGCACAAGCGGUGGAGUAUUGUGGGUUUAAUUCGAUGCAACGCGAAGAACCUUACCUGGCCUUGACAUGUCGAGAACUUUCCAGAAAUGGAUUGGUGCCUUCGGGAACUCGAACACAGGUGCUGCAUGGCUGUCGUCAGCUCUUGUCCUGAGAUGUUGGGGUUAAGUCCCGCAACGAGCGCAACCCUU